GGGCACAGCUAAGAGAGCAGAUUCAGACUGACCAAAGGGAUAUUCCAUAUCAUGUAACGUCAUGCCCAGUAUGUUACCUGGGGGGAGCUGGCUGGGGGAGGAGGGAAGCAAUCGCGGCACAGGGACAGACAGCGUCAGUCAGGGGGUGGACAGGAUGACACAGAAAUUCAGCAUUGUCUUUCUCAUCAACGAUGCGUGGAGAUGGUGAUUCCUGGGAGAUCAAAACAAAGCUCAUUCUCUGUGGAGCAUGUUGAAGUCUGAAGUCCAUUUCUCUGAAUCCCAGGGUACCAGGAUAGAGCCCUGUUGUACCCACUUCAUUUGAAGAUUAUUGGUAUUUUAUUUCCAUCCCUACUUUGAGUUUAACAUCGCAGAGCAUAUGGAUGGACAUCAGAGAGGAAGGUUUCCUGUUCCCCUUUUCCAAUUGCUUUCCUGGUCAGGUAGAAGUGCCUGCAAAGAAUAGAAUAUUAUGCUUUCACUGGAAGUAAAGAAGUAUUUUCAGGGUAGUACAGAGAGACACAGCAGGAAUUUAUAACAGUUUCACUACUGAGGAGAUCAGUGAGAAAAUACACAGACAAGUGCCUUCCUGCAAAAAACCUUGAUUGUACUGUGCAAAGUAUAUUGAAAACCACAAAGCCUAUAAAAGUUGUUUUAGAGCAACACUGGAAGAAAACAUUCAGCAUGACAGAACACAGUAAGCAGAGGAGAGACUGUUAACAAACUCUUUAAUCAUCAUAUUGUUUUAUUACAUGUGUCUGAAUUUUCUCAUUGCCCUAAUUUGUGUUCGAAUAAAACCUGGAAUUAGGAGGUCAAAGGUUUUUCUGAUGUUUUUGUAGUGCAUGUUUAUUACUUUAUAGUUCAGAUUGUAGGUUGCCUUUUGAAGCAAAUCCUCCAAUAUUUCCCUUGUUAUAUUUGGUCAACUUUACAAAACAGUCUUAGAGAACAUAAAGAGGACUUCUUUUGGAUGAAAUCUAAGCAAAAGAUGCUCUCUUGGAGUGCUCUUAAUGUGCUGUAUUGCUAAUGGCCACUUAGUACGUAGCAUUCAGCUAGAAUUAUUAUAUUACAAAAAAAAGUGUUUAAUGAGUACACUGGGUCAUCAGAAUCAAUUAUUUCUCCUUACACAUCCACCUUUAUUGGGACAUACAUUGUCUAAGAAUGCUUACUCUAAGAAAGGAUAUGCAAGGAGAUCCACCUCAUAAAGCUGGCCAAGUUAAGAUCCCAUCUUAUGCCAGACCUCUUACUCAGAAAAUCAGGAUCAAACAGAAAGGAGAAGAGAAUGUCUGCCAAAACCUCAGCUCUUUCUGUUCAAAGUCCUAUGUCUCAGCUGAAAUCCACCUCCAAACACAUUUUCAGAUAAGGUGCUACGUUUGUCCCUAAAGUGCUAAAAGUUUGGUUAUGUAUUUUAUGAUGUUAUACUCUCUGGUAAUAGAAUGGGUAAGUAAUUACAGUAUUGACAUACUGCAGUGAGUUUAACCAAAGCAUCAAAGAAUUGAAUCUGGAUAUCAGGACCAUUCUGUAAAAUAAUUACACCCACUGUGAUCUCAUGAAUGAAUCUUUAUGGUUAGGUCAAUAUUGCUAAAUAGAAAAAAGCAGGGAAUGAUUUUUGGUGCAGUUUCCAGUGUCUCUGGAUGCUGAGAGAUAGCCCCUUCUGUGCUGGAUUGCUUUGGACAGAUCUAGCUGGAGUUCUUUGAAAGAGAGGCAUGGGAUGAAUUAACCAUUAACCAGAAUGAUUGAUUGGAACUAUAUACCUAUACUCAUUGUUCAUGUUCAAGAUCAUCAAGGUUUCUCUUCUACUUUGCACCAUAGACAUACUGUAUAUCAGUGAAGGUCCUGAGCUAAUGAUACAAAAGAUCAUCUAAUCCAAAUUGUUUCAAUUUCUUUUGUUAGAUGAAUAUGUAAGCAUUCUUCCAGUGAAGAAUUAAAGAUUGGUAAGAGUGCAGCGAGGGCUGUAUGACUCAAGAAGUUCAACAAAGGGAAACGCAACAUCCUGCACCUGAAGAAAAACAAUCCCAUGCAGUAGAACUAAUUGGGGUUGACUGACUGGGAAAUAGGUCUGUAGAGAGGGACAUUUGGGUCCUGGUAGGCAACAAACUGAUGGUAAGCCAGCCACGUGCCCUUGUGUCAAAGCAGCUAAUGGUAUCCUGGGCUGCAUUAGGCAAGAACAUUGCCAGCUGGUAAAGGGAGGUGAUCCUUCCACUUUACUCAGCACUGUUGAGGCUGCACCUGGGUCCAGUUCUGGGCUCCUCAGUACAAGAGAUACAUGGGCAUAUUGGGAAGAGUCCAGCAAAGGGGCACCAAAGAUGACGAAAGGACUGGAACAUCUCUACUAUGAGGAAAGGCUGAGAGAGCUGGGACUGCUUAGUCAGGAAAAGAGAAAGGUCAGGAGGAUCAGGCUGGAGACCUGGGCCAAGAGAACCUCCUGAAAUUCAACAAGAGCAAGUGCAAGGUCCUGCACCUGGGGAAGAACAACCUCAUGCACCCGUACAGGCUGGGGGCUGGACUACUGGAAAGAGGCUCUAUUGAG